rnacentral:rRNA from 1 species
GAUGAACGCUAGCUACAGGCUUAACACAUGCAAGUCGAGGGGCAGCAUUCUUGUAGCAAUACAAGAGAUGGCGACCGGUGCACGGGUGAGUAACACGUAUCCAACCUGCCUUCAACUCGGGGAUAGCCUUUCGAAAGAAAGAUUAAUAACCGAUGGCAUAGCAAUUCCGCAUGGUGUUGCUAUUAAAGAAUUUCGGUUGAAGAUGGGGAUGCGUUACAUUAGAUUGUUGGCGGGGUAACGGCCCACCAAGUCGACGAUGGAUAGGGGUUCUGAGAGGAAGGUCCCCCACAGUGGAACUGAGACACGGUCCAAACUCCUACGGGAGGCAGCAGUGAGGAAUAUUGGUCAAUGGGCGAGAGCCUGAACCAGCCAAGUAGCGUGAAGGAUGACCGCCCUAUGGGUUGUAAACUUCUUUUGUGAGGGAAUAAAGUGAGCCACGUGUGGCUUUUGUAUGUACCAUACGAAUAAGGAUCGGCUAACUCCGUGCCAGCCGCCGCAGUAA